AUUGAACGCUGGCGGCAGGCCUAACACAUGCAAGUCGAACGGUAACAGGGAUCAGCUUGCUGAUUCGCUGACGAGUGGCGGACGGGUGAGUAAUGUCUGGGAAACUGCCUGAUGGAGGGGGAUAACUACUGGAAACGGUAGCUAAUACCGCAUAACGUCGCAAGACCAAAGAGGGGGACCUUCUGGCCUCUUGCCAUCGCACGCGCCCUGAUGGGAUUAGCUAGUAGGUGGGGUAACGGCUCACCGAGGCGACGAUCCCUAACUGGACUGAGGGGGUGAACAGCCACUGUGGAACUGAGACACGGUCCUGACUCCUACGGGAGGCAGCAGUGGGGAAUAUUGGACGAUGUGCGCAAGCCUGAUGCAGCCAUGCCGCGUGUAUGAAGAAGGCCUUCGGGUUGUAAAGUACUUUCAGCGGUGAGGAAGGGAGUAAAGUUAAUACCUUUGCUCAUUGACGUUACCCGCAGAAGAAGCACCGGCUAACUCCGUG
rnacentral:rRNA from 1 species